AUACGGCCACAUCACGUUGGAACGUCGGUUCUCGCAAGAUCGCCGAAGUUAAGCAACGUCGAGUCUGGUCAGUACAUAGAUGGGUGACCGCUUAGGAAUACCAAGUGCUGUAAG